UACGGAGGAUGCGAGCGUUAUCCGGAUUUAUUGGGUUUAAAGGGUGCGCAGGCGGACUGUUAAGUCAGCGGUAAAAUGUCGGUGCUCAACACCGGCCGGCCGUUGAAACUGGCAGCCUUGAGUGAGCGAGAAGUAUGCGGAAUGCGUGGUGUAGCGGUGAAAUGCAUAGAUAUCGCGCAGAACUCCGAUUGCGAAGGCAGCAUGCCGGCUCCACACUGACGCUGAGGCACGAAAGCGUGGGUAUCGAACAGG
rnacentral:rRNA from 1 species